CCGAAAGGACGAGCAGGAACUGACACGGGGAUCUGAAAAAGGAGCGAACACGAAGAGCAGAAGCUGCCCAUGCUUCUGGGAGAUGAUCACAUCAUCUAUGUUUUGGGGACUGGAAACCUGGCCAGGAAAUGUCCCAUCACUUGCCCAGUGUCAGCCGGGAUAAGCGCCAGCCCACUGCGACCCGGAUGAAUGGAUGCUACAGCGUCAUGCUUAAAAAUGCGUUAAUUGCAAUAGCAAAGCAAAGGGUAUUUUCUUAAAGGACUCUGCUGUCCAAUCUACUUAAGGCCUAUAUGUGUUUGCAUGUGUGGCUUUUAUUUUCAUUCAUAAGUCUGUUAACUUUGGAAGGUGAAACAUGAUGGUCUAAACAGAUGUUGUUUGAUUUUUCUUUGAGUCCCUUGAUUUUCACCUUUGAUUUAAAUGAACAUU